AUGUUAACAAUCUCCUUCUCUCCUUCUCUCACUCACUCACUCACUCACUCACUCACUCACUCACUCACUCACUCACUCACUCACUCACUCACUCACUCACUCACUCACUCACUCACUCACUCACUCACUCACUCACUCACAGAUAGGUUCAGGCAGUUGGAGGUGCUGCAGCAGGUUACCACUGCAUUCUCAUCCCUGGUCGGUGGUGCGUCUACAGACUCCGUCUCCGAGAGCGGAGUUCCAGCUUUAGCUUCAGCCGGGGCCAGGGAGAAGAGGAAGAGAAUGGGCAUGCUGCUCCGCCGGGUCUCCAGAAAAACCCUCAGCCAAACCCAGUUUCAGACACAAAACCAGACCCAGGACUCCCAGGACACAAACCCCACUCCCCACAGUCCUGUAACCCACUUACCGCAGCCCCUGGCUGGCCUCCCUGACAGGCGGACCCCGCUGAAACGAGCCAGACAGGGCCUGGCUGAGAGUAUAUGUCUGACCCCGCUGGCAGAGGAGCAAGGCCUAGCCUCGGAAGCACCAGAGCCCCACUCGGUCCACCAGGAGGGUGCACUCUGGCUGGAGGUGGGGAAGGAGUAUCAACCCCUGAUCUCCAGUGGUAUUCCAACCAGAAAGAAAAGUCCUGGGGAGGCCAGGGAGUCCUUUGAGAUGGAGGAGAUCCAGAGCUUUGAUGAGGGCAGUAUUUCUGGGAGCUACAUGGGAGCAUCCGACACCACAGCAGUGUGUGUGAUGAGGACUAACAGCUGCCAGUCUGACAGCAGUGGCUUCCUGGAAGAGCCCUUCAUCCCUUCCAUUACCCAGCAUCCCUCACCUGGACCCGAGCUCAUGAAGGCUUUGUCGGGAAUAUUUGGAGGCAGCACUGACAGCCAGAUCACUGCUUCACCCCCCUCGUCCCCCCCAUCCACUUCCCUGGACCCUUCCCCUCCUUCCCUCUCCAUGUGCCACCCAAGACCCGAGUCUCCUCUAUACAGACCAGAGACAACAAGCCCUACAGAGGAGACACCCAGACACCAGGAUUCCCCCACACCCCACUCCCUCUCUGAUGCCUUGGAGAUGACUAACUCUGCUUUUGGAGCCAGGCCAAGCCUAAUGGAAAACACUGUCACUGAGGAAGAUGGAUUCUCUUCGGCCUGCGGUUCACCUUGUCAUAAGCCAGACUCUCCGUUACGGCACGUUAUUAUUAUCAUGAAAACAGAUAGAGAAACAGAACACUUUACUGUGGAAUCAGAGGAAGCUGUUCCAAUAGGAGGAGAGGAAAAGGACAUAGCGGAACAAAGUGGCAAUGUUCAGACAGGAACAGAGGCUGUUGGUGAUCAGGACACCGAUUGUUAUGGGUCACAUGAAGGCUCUCGGAUGAACUCGGUAGCUCUGGUGCAGAUGAAGAAAGAGACAGAGAUGAAGACGAAAGUACAGAUUAGUUCUGGUUUGGAAGGUCCAGUGUUGGGUCCUGUUGCUGUUCCUGAGGUGGUGAAUCAAGGCUCUGAGACUGGAUCUGUUUGUCAGGACCGGUACUCUGAAGAUCCUCUAUUAGGAUCUGACCCUAACUUCUCAGCAGAGCCUCUCCCUGCCUCCUCUCUCCCCCCAGCAGAGCCUCUCCCUGCCUCCUCUCUCCCCCCAGCAGAGCCUCUCUCUGCCUCCCUCCCCCCAGUGCACUGGGAAACAGGUGGCUCAAAGAUUUCAGAGGGAUCCUCAAGCUUGGUUGUCCAAGAGCCUGUCCCACCACUAUAUCAACCAGCAGACCCAUCGACAGACCCACCUCCAGGCCCAGCUUUAACCUCACCUUCAGAGCAAGUGUCACCUCCAUCCCCACCACCAUCUCCAUCCCCAGCCUCGUGGCCACACCAACCUCCAGCCUCAGCUUUUCCGGCAGCAUCCAGCUCAUCUCCAACCCAAGCCCAUUCCCCAAUCCCAAACCAUUCUCUAUCAGCCCUAACCACAACACCAACCCCAUCCUCAAUUCCAAACUCGCCAUCAGCCCAUUCCUUAACCGUAGCUCCAUCUCAAGCCCCAACUCCACUCGUCCCCCACAGUGGUGCUUUCAGGUCAGGCCGGUCUGUGUCUGUCCAGAUGCCCUCCUCCCUGCCCUCUGUCUCCCACUCUGCCCUCCGGAGAGGUGGCGUCCCCCACACCCCCUCCCCGCUCGGCCCUUCCUUCGAGCCCCGCCCCCUGACUGACCUGACGCUCCGGCAGAGGCGGAACUCCUUCUCCAGGAAGGCGUGGUCAGAUGCUGAUGUCUCCCACUUUGCAGAACACAGAAACACUGCGGUUGCCAUGGGAAAGGCAGUCAUGACACCUGAGAUGAUAUCCCUCCUGUCCCCCGUCCCCUCCCUGUCAUCGUCCAAUCGGUGGCUGUCUCGCGACGGUUCACGAAGAUCCGGAAGUUUCCAGAUGAAGUCCACCUCCUUGGACACGGGGCUGUGGCAGGAGGAAGAGGGGGAUGAAGUGGGGGAUGAGGAUAGACGGUGGGAACGAGCCCUGUUCUCUGGGCUUUCCUGCUGCUGCUCCUGUGAUAACCGCUGUAGCUGCUGUUCUCAGAACAAUCACCUCAAACCAUCCUCCGUUUCAGCUUUCCCUUAUUCCCUGGAUGAGCUGGAGGGGAUGAUGCACUGUAUGAGGAAGUUCCGCUGCGUCCUGACAGACAUCGAGGAACAGCUGUCAGAAGACCAGGCCUCGGUGUACAGCUCACUCUCUGACACUGACAGAGAUGAAGUGCGAGACAUCUUGGAGCUGAGGAAAGCUGUGAAACAGGAAGCAGGAGAGUUGGAACUGCAGCUCACUGACCUGGUUCAUCGCUAUGACGACAGCUUCAAAAUGAAGAUGCACAGACUACUCGAUGAACAAUCUCACCUCUACACCCAGCUAAGGCUCCUCCCCCUGAUCCCCAAGACCACCCCUGGCUCCGCCUCCUCUAGGAGCAUGGCCACUCAGUGCUGCCUGCUGCCCUGGCUGCCUUUGACGGACAUGUCCAGGCCACACCCCUCACCGCAGGCCACCUGGGAUUUGGAGUCCAGAUCAGCUCUGCCAGAUUCCAGUUCUAUGGGCCAGAGACUAAACCAUGGUUCUACCGGCACCAAGCCAGACAAACUGGACAUUGUGGGUUUCAUCCAGAGAGUAAGGGACCUUUGA
rnacentral:lncRNA from 8 species